AAGACCUUGCGCUUUUGGAGCGGCCGAUGUCUGAUUAGCUUAUUGGUGAGGUAAAGGCUUACCAAGGCUUCGAUCAGUAGCUGGUCUGAGAGGACGGCCAGCCACACUGGAACUGAGACACGGCCCAGACUCCUACGGGAGGCAGCAGUGGGGAAUUUUGGACAAUGGGGGCAACCCUGAUCCAGCCAUGCCGCGUGAGUGAAGAAGGCCUUCGGGUUGUAAAGCUCUUUCAGCCGGAACGAAACGGUUACGGUUAAUACCCGUGACUACUGACGGUACCGGAAGAAAAAGCACCGGCUAACUACGUGCCAGCAGCCGCGGUAAUACGUAGGGUGCAAGCGUUAAUCGGAAUUACUGGGCGUAAAGCGUGCGCAGGUGGUUUUGUAAGUCAGAUGUGAAAUCCCCGGGCUUAACCUGGGAACU
rnacentral:rRNA from 1 species